GGGGCUGGGGAUGUAGCUCAGUGUGACAGUCCUGGGUUCAGUCCCCAAUACUGCAAACAAGGCGAAACAGAAACAAACCAAACCCAAAACAAAAACCAACAAACAAAAACCUGAGGCUCGUCUUACAGAAGAAUUAGGAGUUACUGAGUUAAACUCAUGACUGCCAUCCCCAUUGAGAAUCUUUAAAGUUGAAACUGUAUUAGAUUUGUGGUUUAAUUUAGAGAGAUUUGAGGUCUUUACCAUCUUCAGUCUUUCUACCAAACAGCUUGAUUUGCCUUUAAAACGAAUUUAUCUUUCACAUUGCUCAGUGUGAUUUUUAACCUGUUAGCUCUCUUUUCUGUUUUUGAGACAAGGUCUUGCUAAGAUACCCAGGGUGGGCUCAAACUUGGGAUCCUCCUGCCUCAGCCUCUCAAGUGCUGGGAUGACAGGUGUGCACCACCACGCCUGGCUCAAAACCUAAUUUUUCUUAAUGAAGAACUUGAUUCUUGAAGUAUGCUUUGGUGGCUGGCCGAGCGAUGUUCUACCCAGCCUUCCCAGCCCACUCCCCUCGGCCUGAUCCCACCCUCGCCCCACAGGUGUCUGACAGCUCUGUAGCCGUUGUGCCAGCCCAGUACAUCUGUGCCCCCGAUAGCAAGUACACGUUCCUCGCAGCACCCGCCCAGCUGCUGCUGGAGAAAUUCCUCCAGCACCACAGCCACCGAUUCUUCCCGCUGUCCCUGAAGAACCACAGGCACCCCGUGCUGUCCGUGGACUGCUAUCUUAACCUGGGGCCUCAGAUUUCUGUCUGUUACGUGAGCUCCAGGCCGCACUCUCUGAACAUCAGCUGCUCCGACCUGAGGUUCAGCGGCCUCCUGCUGUACCUGUGUGAUUCCUUUGUGGGGGCUGGCUUCCUGAAACAGUUCCACUUCCUCACAGGCGCCACGCUGUGCGUGAUCUGCCGGGACCGGAACUCGCUGCGCCAGACCGUGGUGCGCCUGGAGCUGGAGGACCAGUGGCAGUUCCGGCUGCGCGACGAGUUCCAGACGGCCAACGCGCGCGAGGACCGGCCGCUCUUCCUGCUCACGGGCCGGCACAUCUGAGCCACAGGAGGGACCGUUUCCGAGAGGGUUCUGGGCUGCCCCAGGUUUGCCCUUUCAGAGCUCGCCGACAGCCGAGCCAGGCAGCGGAGUCACCGCAGAGCAAAAGGAGGCCACCGGGGGCGCGGGGUGAAAACCCUGCUCCCAGAAAGGGCCACGGUGAAAGCUCUCUCUAAGACGCUAAGGAGGAAAAUAGGGGUGCAGAGGUUGACCUGGACUUCGACUUACAAAGAAAAAAAGAGCCAAAUUUCUUACUCGAGAAAAGAAAAACAAUAAAAGCAACCAGAGUGGCGUGAAGCGUGAAGAACCAGACCGACGACUAAUUUAUAGACGCUCGGUGUUCAGUCCCUUCCGAGCCUGUUCUACCAUGCGAAGUUCCUGGGGGAAGAGUCCCCGCGGACGCAGACCCCGGGCGCAGGGGAGCACAGCGGCCGGCCCGACUUCCCUUCCCCAGCCAGGCUGAACCCGCGCGCCAGCGCGCCACCUACCGGCCAGGCGCUGUUACUGCCCCUUUGAAAGACAGUUCCGGGGUCGGGGUGGAGCAGGCAGCUGGACAGAAUGAAAGCACAAGCCAAACUUCGGGAUUCUGGGCUCCCCUGUUCGGAUCCCUGCUGGCCACCCCACUGCCCGGGAAGUGGCCCACAGUGGAAGGAAAAGUGUAAAGAUAUUUAAAAAUGGAUCAGCCAAAUGGAUCCUUCAAUGCCCGCCUCGGACGUUUAUAAGCACUCUAGUGGAUAAUGAUCCAAGAAGAAGCUUUUAAAAAAAUGAUGCCAAAGAAUGAACAUUAAUCUUUCCCUCCCCCAAGGAAAAAAGUUGACAAGUGUAAAAGUUUUAGAUCAGUGUUUAUAAAACGAUCCCUUUGUGUAUGCCACUGUUCCUAUUUUGGAAUAAAAACUGACCUUUCUUAGUUAAAUUUGCCUUUUGUAAAUAGAAAUGCAUUUGCCAUUCUUUGCAUUUUAUUAAUUUAAACUUGCAAAAACCACCCAAACUAAUACUCUUGUGUGUUCCAGUCUUAUAAAUAAAACUUAUGAUUCACAUAUUGCUCAUUGGUGGAUAUUAAUCACAUCAUUUUGAGAGGAAAUAGUAUGGCCAGUGAGCUGGGGGCCACUUCCUUAAAGUCCCCUAGCAUAACAGAAAGUAAGAUUUGAAAGGAGAUAAAAAUGAAGGUUGGGCUGGGGAUUUAGCUCAGUGGUGCUGCCACCUGCCUCACAAGUGCAAGGUCCUGAGUUCCAUCCCCAAUACCUGCCCCAAAAGAAGAUAACAUAUUUCAGUGAUCCAUGCACACCCAUAUUGAUAGGAGCACAGUUCACCAUGGCUAAAUCUUGGAAGCAGCCCGUAUGUCCAUUAACAGAUGA
rnacentral:lncRNA from 1 species